ensembl:lncRNA
GAAUUAUAUAAUUGAGUCAUUCUGCUGUACAGAAGAAAUUAACACAUUAUCAAUCAACNNNNNNNNAAAAUUUUCAAAAAAAAAAAAAAAACAAAGAAAAAAGGAAAUGGGACAUUGUCAGCAUCCCCUAGAUGCCCUCUGCCCUCCUGGUGCCCCUCUAAUCACCAUCUCCCAAAAGGCACCCCGACAUCGCACCCCACAUGGAUAAGCAGCCCGCUGUCCUUCCUAUCAGUGGAGCCACCCUGGAGGAACUAAGGACUCUCAUGUCCGGGGUUUUGGCUCAGCGCUAUAUGGCAGGACUCCUCUAGGCUACUGCACAUGUGCAGAUCUGCAGGAUGGUUUCGUGUGUGACAAGCCUCAGUGCAAGGGGAGCAGCUGCUGGGGGACCUCGGAUUGUCUGCAGCUUGGGGUGACAACGCUCUGGUGUGCGCAUCCUGAUGGCUCUGUUAGCCUCCUGUGGCCCCUGGAACAAAUGGGCCCCAGAUACAGGGCUUUAAGCAACUCAAGUUCAGGAGACUGGGAGUCUAGAAGCAGGUUCAGUGGUGGAGGUCAAGGCGUCAGCAGGGCUGCUUACCUCCUGGAGACUCCAGGGGUGAUCACCUCUGCUGACAACCUUUGACAUGUGGUCACAAUCCUUGACAGUCUCUGCCUCCAUCAUCCCUGCCUUCUCCUCUGCUUCCACUCUCCUCUUCCUCUCUCUUAGAAGGACCCUUGUGGGGAAUUCCCUGGCCAUCUAGUGGUGAGGACUUGGCAUUCUCACUGACAGGGCCCUGGGUUCUACCCCAGGUCAGGGAGCUAAGAUUCCACAAGCAGAGUGUGGCACAGCCAAAAAAAAAAAAAAAACAAAUAUAUAAUACACACUAUGUGUACUGGCAGUUUGGAAGUGAAGUGAAGGUGUUAGCCUAUUAGUCAUGUCUGACUCUUUAUGACCCCGUGGACUAUAAACCGCCAGGAUCCUCUGUCCACGGAAAUUUCCAGGCAAGAAUACUGGAGUGGGUUGCCAUUCCCUUCUCCAG